CUCCGGUUGAUCCUGCCGGACCUGACUGCUAUCGGAUUGGUACUAAGCCAUGCGAGUCGUUGUAGCAAUACAAGGCGGACGGCUCAGUAACACGUAGUCAACCUAACCUAUGGACGUGGAUAACCUCGGGAAACUGAGAAUAAACCGCGAUAGAUCAUUAUGCCUGGAAUGGCUUAUGGUUCAAACAAUUUAUUGCCGUAGGAUGGGACUGCGGCCUAUCAGCUUGUUGGUGAGGUAAUGGCCCACCAAGGCUAUAACAGGUACGGGCUCUGAGAGGAGAAGCCCGGAGAUGGGUACUGAGACACGGACCCAGGCCCUAUGGGGCGCAGCAGGCGAGAAACCUUAGCAAUGUGCGAAAGCACGACUAGGUUAAUCCGAGUGAUUUCUGUUGAAGAAAUCUUUUGUCAGUCGUAAAACCACAGACGAAUAAGGGGUGGGCAAGUCUGGUGUCAGCCGCCGCGGUAAUACCAGCACCUCGAGUGGUCAGGAGGUUUAUUGGGCCUAAAGCAUCCGUAGCCGGCUACGCAAGUCUCCGGUUAAAUCCAGCUGCUCAACAGAUGGGCUGCCGGAGAUACUACAUAGCUAGGGAGCGGGAGAGGUAGACGGUAUUCUGUGGGUAGGGGUAAAAUCCACUGAUCCAUAGAGGACCACCAGUGGCGAAGGCGGUCUACCAGAACGCGUUCGACGGUGAGGGAUGAAAGCUGGGGGAGCAAACCGGAUUAGAUACCCGGGUAGUCCCAGCUGUAAACGAUGCAAACUCGGUGAUGCAUUGGCUUAUGGCCAAUGCAGUGCCGCAGGGAAGCCGUUAAGUUUGCCGCCUGGGAAGUACGGACGCAAGUCUGAAACUUAAAGGAAUGGGCGGGGAGCA
rnacentral:rRNA from 1 species